rnacentral:rRNA from 1 species
AUUGGGCAAUGCCCGCAAGGGUGACCCAGCAACGCCGCGUGGAGGAUGAAUGUCGUAAGAUUGUAAACUCCUGUUAGAGGGGAAGAAUAGUACCGGUUGGACCGGUAUAUGACUGUACCCUCAGAUAACGCCCCGGCUAACUACGUGCCAGCAGCCGCGGUAAUACGUAGGGGGCAAGCGUUGUCCGGAUUUACUUGGUGUAAAGGGCGCGCAGGCGGGAUCAAAAGUCAGUGGUGAAAUCCUACAGCUUAACUGUAGAACUGCCUUUGAUACUGUUAUUCUUGAGUUCGGGAGAUAGGGACGGAAUUGCAGGUUUAGUGGUGAAAUACGUAGAUAUCUGGAAGAACACCAGUUGCGAAGGCGG